rnacentral:rRNA from 1 species
ACAGGAUUAGAUACCCUGGUAGUCUACACUGUAAAUUCUGAGUGCUGUAAUUUAACAAAUUGUGUUAGAUUUUUAAGCUAACGCCAUAAGCACUCCGCCUGAGGAGUACGAUCGCAAGAUUGGAACUCAAAGGAAUUGACGGGGGCCUACAACAAGUGGUGGAGCAUGUGGUUUAAUGCGAUAAUCCGCGCAAAACCUUACCAACCUUUGACAUAUUAAAAAUUUUUAAUUAAUAAAAAUUAAAUUAAAAACUAUUUUUACAGGUGUUGCACGACUGUCGUCAGCUCGUGUCGUAAGAUGUUUGGUUUAUUCCUUUAACGAGCGCAACUCUUAUCUUUAAAAAGUUUUUAACUUACAAAAGUUUCGUGUAUAUGAGACUUUUUAAGGCUUUAAAAGAAACUAUCAAUGAUAAAUUGGAGGAAGGUGAGAAUUAAGUCAAGUCCCUGUGGCCCUUAUAGGUUGGGCUACACACGUGCUACAACGG